GGAUCCACAGCAUAACGUUCUUUAUUCUAGCAGGUAGGAUCCACAGCAGAACGUUCUUUAUUCUACCAGGUAGGAUCCACAGCAUAACGUUCUUUAUUCUAGCAGGUAGGAUCCACAGCAGAACGUUCUUUAUUCUACCAGGUAGGAUCCACAGCAGAACGUUCUUUAUUCUACCAGGUAGGAUCCACAGCAGAACGUUCUUUAUUCUACCAGGUAGGAUCCACAGCAGAACGUUCUUUAUUCUACCAGGUAGGAUCCACAGCAGAACGUUCUUUAUUCUAGCAGGUAGGAUCUACAGCAGAACGUUCUUUAUUCUACCAGGUAGGAUCCACAGCAGAACGUUCUUUAUUCUACCAGGUAGGAUCCACAGCAGAACGUUCUUUAUUCGACCAGAUAGGAUCCACAGCAGAACAUUCUUUAUUCUAGCAGGUAGGAUCCACAGCAGAAUGUUCUUUAUUCUAGCAGGUAGGAUCCACAGCAGAAUGUUCUUUAUUCUAGCAGGUAGGAUCCACAGCAGAACGUUCUUUAUUCUAGCAGGUAGGAUCCACAGCAGAACGUUCUUUAUUCUAGCAGGUAGGAUCCACAGCAGAACGUUCUUUAUUCUAGCAGGUAGGAUCCACAGCAGAACGUUCUUUAUUCUAGCAGGUAGGAUCUACAGCAGAACGUUCUUUAUUCUAGCAGGUAGGAUCCACAGCAGAACGUUCUUUAUUCUACCAGGUAGGAUCCACAGCAGAACGUUCUUUAUUCUACCAGGUAGGAUCCACAGCAGAACGUUCUUUAUUCUACCAGGUAGGAUCUGCUUAGAGCCAAUCCUGUUUUACAAGACCCGGCCAGAAAUAGAGACAACACACACACAGGACAUAUAGUGGACACAGAUCUGAAGAGGUUAAAAACAUAAAUGACUGGAUAAUGUCGAGAUUAAUGCGCACAGUUGUGUGUAAACAGUCAGCGGUCUGCUAGGAUCUGCUGGUUGAACAUCUGAAGAGAUGGAGGAGAUCUCCAUAGACGAUGUCUCUGAGGCUGCUGGUGCCUCCCAGAUCCUCCUCUACGCUGAUGACACCAUCGUAUCCUCCUCUGAUCCCAACUCCUCUCUGCUGCAUCCACACUUCCAGAGACUUUAGAAGGAAUUCCAAUCAAACGGACUAUUGGUAGAGCAGUAGUCUGUAAAUGUGACAGCGGUGGGUGGAGAAAGGUUGAGUGAUGGAGAACAUCCAGGCUCUUCAGGGAAACUUAGGGACAUUUAGAUGACAUCUCCAUGGUCCAACAUGGAGAGGAUGGUCAUCUUCACAGGAGGGGACGUACUAAGGCAGAGGAACCCCAGUCUGAAGAAUGUUGAUGUUAAGAAUGAAAGAGAGAGAAGAGUCCAUCCAAAGACCAUGGCCCUGUAGGAGAUGAUGACCUCUAGAUCUGAGCCAUCUGCUCAGAUGGUCUGUGGGGGGCUGGAGACCCCGUUUGUCUGGCUGAAGAGCAGACAUUUGGUUUUAUUGGAAUAGCGGUGAAGAUCAUGAAGACUCCUGGACUGAAGUCAGGCUGAGCUGAAGGUAGCAGCAGCAGAGGAG